CCCUUAGAUGUCCGGGGCUGCACGCGCGCUACACUGUAGAAAGCAGCGUGCUUUAAAACCUUUCCUGAAAAGGAUGGGUAACCCCAGCAAAAUUCUACGUGCUUGGGAUAGAGAUUUGCAAUUUUCUCUCUUGAACGAGGAAUUCCCAGUAAGUGCGAGUCAUCAGCUCGCGUUGAUUACGUCCCUGCCCUUUGUACACACCGCCCGUCGCUACUACCGAUUGGGAAAAUUUUAGAGAGUCCCGGACUGAUGAUUGUUCGGCUUCACGGCCUUACUUUCGUCGGGAAAGAAUUCGAUAAUAUUUUUCUAGAGGAAGUAAAAGUCGUAACA
rnacentral:rRNA from 1 species